rnacentral:rRNA from 1 species
AUGUCGCGUACUUUGUUCAACCGCAUAGCUGAUGGUAUACUUGAGCAUGACUAUGAUGAUUAUUUUACGCAAAAAAGAAGUGCUUCUGGAGCUCUUGGGUUACAUCCUUUGCAAAAGAUGACCGCGGCGAUGCGGAUACUAACAUAUGGAAUAGCAGGUGAUUAUGUUGAUGAGUACAUCCGGUCCGCUGAGUCUACUAAUUUAGAGUCUUGCAAGAAAUUUAUGAUCAAAAUUUGUGAAGUUUUUGGGGAAAAAUUCCUGAGAUCUCCAAAUGAAGAAGACAUUGCUAGGUUAUUUGCAAUAGGGGAGGAAAGAGGAUUUCCCGAUGGUAUCUAUCCACGGUGGGCAACAUUUGUGAAGAGCAUACCAGCUCCAACUAGCAGAAAGCAAAAAACUUUUGCCAAGAAGCAAGAGGGGGCUAGGAAAGAUGUGGAACGAGCCUUUGGAGUUCUGCAAUCCCGUUUUGCCAUUGUUCGUGGACCUGCUAAAGGAUGGAAACGUAAAGAAAUCACUGAUGUCAUGAAAGCUUGUGUCAUAAUGCACAAUAUGAUAGUUGAAGAGGAGCGACAAACUGGUCGGCAAAGCUGCACUUUUGAGGCAAUGGGAGAAAGAGUCACAGUCUCU